rnacentral:rRNA from 1 species
UACGUAGGUGGCAAGCGUUGUCCGGAUUUACUGGGCGUAAAGGAUGCGUAGGCGGACAUCUAAGUCAGAUGUGAAAUACCCGAGCUUAACUUGGGUGCUGCAUUUGAAACUGGGUGUCUAGAGUGCAGGAGAGGUAAGUGGAAUUCCUAGUGUAGCGGUGAAAUGCGUAGAGAUUAGGAAGAACACCAGUGGCGAAGGCGACUUACUGGACUGUAACUGACGCUGAGGCAUGAAAGCGUGGGGAGCAAACAGG